AGAUCUUUCUCUAAAAAAAUGUCGAAGUUAAUCUAUUUAUACCACAUUCAAUACAUUUCAGAAACACAGCACCCCCAGGAGAGUAAGCAAUCACAUUGACCCAAGACCUCUUCUUUAUGUCAGUCCAAGAAUCAGACAUAAUUGCGCAACCUAUGAUACCCCAUGUC